rnacentral:lncRNA from 1 species
UAUAAAGAUAUAAAAUCUAUAUGAUUUCGUUGAGAUUCAUAUUUUAAAAAGUGGACACAAUAUGGUACACUAACUUUCAAUUUUUUUUCAUUUGUUAUUUUACAACACGGAGAAAAAUAAAAGGUAAAAUUUACAGAAAAAAAGUAGUUUUUACCUUUUUAGUGAACAAAUGAGGGAUACCUAGAGGAAACGGGUAAAAUUUACCAAAAAAAAUGUCAUUAGAUUGAAGCUGUGCUUUACGUUUCAACGGAGUUAAAUUUACAUUUACUUUUUGUUAUCGCUUCCAUUACUUCGAAAAAAGUGUAGCUCGAGAAAUGGAUCAACUAGUCCAACAAAUAACUUUGACCGAAGAAGUUCAAACCUCCAAUCUGAUGAACAGCAAUUAUCGUUUAGAUUACAAGAGGCUGUCGAAGAUGAAGACCAACUUUUUGGCUUCGAGUAUGCAGAUGCAAAUAUGAUCACUUGGGAAACAAUAUUUUUUGUAUUAAAAAUAUUUUGAAGACGAUUCGUUCCCAGAGAAGGAGAUUUCUAAUUGAGACUGACGUAAUAUUGUCAUUUUGCUUGUCAUUGAAAAGUCAUUAAAGCUUAUACUUAAAAACUUAUGUCUUAAAAAAAAAAAAAUAACAACAAAUGGAUUGUUAAUAUAAGAC